rfam:Myotis davidii contig165754, whole genome shotgun sequence.
GCCAUGGUGACUCAGUGGUUGAGUGUUGACCUAUGAACCAGGAGGUCAUGGUUCGAUUCCCUGUCAGGGCA